AUGAGCCGUUGCUCCUUCCUAAGCGUACUCAGCUACGAUAUAUCGUCGCCGUCUGUGCGAUGCCUGAGCAUCACGGACUGUGAUUUUCGUCGCAUUGACGAGAAGAAACAGGCCAUCAUCUCUGUGCCAAGCCUCGUCUACCUGGAGCUGGCCGCGGAACGUGGCAUGGUUCCCGCGUUUGAGAGCACGCCGUCCUUGCUAUCCGCAUCUAUCAAGCUUGAAGACAGUGCUCACUCUUGGAUUAGGGACGAAAAAGAUGCUUCCUUGCUCCUUGAACGCUUCUCAGAUGUUACCACUAGUCUAGACCUCAUAGCUGACCGUCAACAGCUUGCUUUCAGGAAAGAUUUAAAACUGUGCGCUACAUUUACCAAGCUCAGAAUCUUGUCACUCAAUGAUUGGUGUGUGGAGCCUGAUUUUGGCCCACUGCUCUACAUUCUCCGGCGGUCACCAAGUCUGGAGAAGCUUCGCCUCCGGCUAUCUAAGCCAUAUCUAGCUGCUGAGGAAACCGACGGAAGCUACGAUUCGACAGAACCAUUUUUGGUGUCAAAGCAUCUCAAGGUCGUCGAGAUUAAAUGUCGGGCAAAAGACGAGAGAGCUCACAGAAUUUCGAAGGCCCUUUGUUCCUAUGGAGUAUCUGCUGAUAAAAUCAACAUCAAGGAAAGAAUACGGUCCUCCGAUGGAAUAUAUUAUGAGUCUGACACGUCAAUCCAUUCGUAUUCAGAUCCGGAGAAAUAUCAGUUAGAUUAA
rnacentral:rRNA from 1 species